CUUCUGAAUUCGGCCGCGCCUCCCUUCUUCAGAAGCCUUCUCCUUCUCCUCUCAAAAUCAUGAAAGCUUUUUGCCCUAACUAUGAGAGUUUAGGGUUUGUCUUUUAUAUACUUACAAUGUCAAAUGACGAACAAUUGCCACUUGCAAUACAAGAAGGAAUUGAUAGUUCUCAACCUAUUGAACUGACAAUUGGAAGCACUAGUACUGGAAUGCAAGGUUGACCGUAAGAUUAUAUCCAUAGUAUUUUGUUUCCUAAGAGCAAAGACUUUGCAGGACGGCAAGAGAGAGCUGUCGUUGAUCUGGAAAUGUGUUAUACCAAGGCAACUAUACGUCAAUUUCUGUUGAACUCUUUACACAAUUUAAAUAUAAGACCAAAUUUUUACUCAAAAAAGAGAUUGUGGGCACUCUAUAUUGGAAACUUCAAGUUUUAUAGGUUGGUGUUUAUAUUAUCUACUGAA